ACCAUAAAGACGAAAUUGUGCUUAACAAAUCAGUUGGUCGUAGAUUUGACAGUUGUUAAGCGGUGAUAGAUUUGUUCGUGAAGAACAUCCAAAUUUGCCCCAUAUUGUGCAUUAUCAACGAUACGUUGUUUAAUAAUUUACAUUUCUUAGAUAAACUUUACUGCAUCAAUGGCAAAUGUUAAAGAUUUUCGUAAAUUGAUGAAAUCUCUGAUUGUGUACUCGAAAGUGGCCGGGGUUGAGUUGUGGACAGCACCAGGAAAGUUCACGCCAGCUUCGUAUUACGUUUCGUUUCAUAUAACAGUAUAUUUUGCAAGUACUGUUUGGACACUAAGAAAGUACAUCGAUGAUCCAAUUCGUAUGAUGAAAGUCCUCAUAACGCUGGGAACUGCUGUACAGCUCUACAUUAAGUUCUUCGUUUGGCAUUCGAAACCCCAAGAAGUCAAGUUAUUUACCGCUGAACUGGAACAAGAAGUGCUUAAACGCUACCAGGACGGGUCUGAAGAGGAAACUGCUGUACUUAGACAUACAGGUCGUAUUCUUUGGAUAGUCUAUCGUAUAAUGAGUGCGUCAUAUAUCUUCGCUGCAGUUGCAUUCGGAGUGUAUCCUGCAUUUUAUUACUUUGUAACGGGAGUAGUGAUGCCUUUGUUUGUGUACGAGCUACCGUUCUGCGAUUUGAGUUCUUCUUUAGGAUACGCAGUGACGAUGUGUUUUCAGAUUAAUCUCUUGGUUAUUGGUGUUUUGGGAGCAAUACUGUCUGAUUUUGUGUUUUUCAUGUACGCAAUAUAUGCUAUGGCUAGGACAGAGAUUUCAAUAUUGCAUCUUGGUGAGCUGGAAAACAUGCUUAUCGACCCCAAUAAGAAUGAAGAACACACUGAGGAUAUACGUCGCAAGUGGGUCCAGUGCAUGCACGAUCAUCAGCAAUCAACCAGCUUUUUCAGCACGAUUGAAAACUUAUUCGGGCUUAUGUGUUUAGCACAGGUUGCAACAGAAUUUCUUUCAAUAUGUGACGCAAUGCUAUUAGUGCUUUUGACUGAUUGGUACCCAACAUAUUCCUACCUGUACGUGAUGUUCGUCCAAUUAUCAGGAUAUUUCGUGAUUGGACAUAUGGUUGAGAUAAAGGUAGUGUGUAGUAUUUUUGACAAACAUGUUACUUAUCACAGAUUGACGCAUUGUACAACAAGAUCAUCUCGUUGCCUUGGUAUAAACUACCAGUAAAAGAACAGAAGGAAUUUAGAUUUCUUAUGAGCAGACAGCAAUAUCCGAUGAUGUUGACAGCGUAUGGCUUUCAUCCCAUGAAUUUCGAGGCGUACAUGAGUGUGUUGAAGCGUCUGUACCAGUUUUUCGUCAUGGUCAUGCAGUAUGUUGGCUGAACCUGAAAAAUUGUUUUGGUAAUAAUUGUUCCACUUACUAUUCACCAAAAUAUGUGAUGCACUCAUGCAAUACCAAUCAUACAAAGUUAGUACACAUCUGAAAGUACACCAAAUCAUCUCAAAGAAUGCGUAGCAAAAGAGGUAAUAAAAAUGAAAUCUUAGACACUGUCUCUGUUAGAACCUAUCAACAGAGAAACCUUUAGAGUUUGGUGGUUCAAAGAGGAAUAAACAAACAAAAAAAUUACCGUAUAGUUACAAGAUUAUCAACCUUAUGAUUUUUGGAAUAAAAUUGAUUUGUGUUUGGACAAAUUAAAAGGAAUGUUGUUAAAAAUAUUAAAUAUUCGUAUAACUGUAUUUUUUCGUUCGUUUCUGAUCAACGUCCGUCUUCGC